UUGAGCAGCGGCACCUGCUGCAUCGUUAUUCUCAACAUGUUCAGGCUGAGCGUCAGAGUUGCUCAGCAACGGGUACUCGUCAUGUUUGUCGACAGCAGAUUUCUGAAACAAAUCACGCGUCAUUUGCAACAGUUCUGAUGAUUUACUUGCAGUUGUAAUUCUUGAAGCGAAUGAAAUCUCUGAAGUUGUCUUCCGUUGGAAGGUAGUGGCCACUGUAUGGCCAUAUUGCCUGAAGAAAUGGAGCACCGUCAGAAUUCCAUCUUUGACCACCAAUCGUCCAGCACAUGUUAUGGCUCCACCAGCUAGGAAGCUGGAAUGCUGAAACGAUCCUUUCUUCUUCUGCACAUCGUCAAUGCCAGAGCCGAAGAAAACGUCAGAACCAAUGCA